AGCGCUGCCAUAAAAUAGUGCAGCCAAAAAUGGAAAGUGCAAUUGAUAUGUGGUUUCAUUUGCUGCUUUUGUUUGCUCUAGACUAUUAGUUUUUUUUUUGGUAUUUUUUGACAAGUAAACUGAAUGUAAGUCUUUCAUUUAAAGUUCAGCAGUAUUCCAGAUGUUUACGCGCACUGAUAUAAAAGAACUGCUUCUGUUUUGUGCGGAAUCCACUCAGUGCAGGGCGGCCAUUGUGAGGUCAACCCAGAGGUGUACAAGAUGCCACAAGUCUAGUGAUCUUUGAAGUGUUCAGCUUCAAGUGUCGAAUCAUCUUAUACCUACUGCAGGAUGCGGAGAAAAAACAACCAGCCCCUUGAUGGGAACUACAGUAGCUGUUGCAAUGUUAUCGUCCAUACACAUCCAAAUAUAAACAGGUGACAGAGCAAAACUAUUGGCAAUGGCAGGACAUCCAGCUUAUUCGGGUUCUGUUAGUUAGGUCUUAAAGUAUUGCAGCUGCCAAGCCUCUUGGAAACCCAGACUUCGGGGACUGUGCCUCUGGCUCAGUAGGGGCUUGUUCAGCUAAGUUAGAUGGGUUUGCUGGAUGUCAAGGCCACAAAUAAUGUUAAGUUCCUUUUGCUCUUGUUCCUGAUGGUACUUUGCCUCAGCCCGACCUAGAGAUGAUCCCGGUAAACUACUGCCAAUAUUGUUGUUCUCCGCUUGUUUUCUUCCUCGUACGCCUCGCUGGCAGUAGCCACUUUUUCUGCAUUGUAGUCUGAUCAGGGUCUGGGAUAUAAAGUAAAUAUGGGUUAAACAGUAGUAACACCAACCCUGUCCUAACAUCUGGAGUGGUGAUUCUGCCUUUAAUGUUCCAGAAGCCUAUUUCCAGAGAACACUUCAUUUAUGUAUUCACUGAAUUUAAAACAAGAGGUAUAUAAAACUGAAGCAUGCGCAAUUUUGGCAUAUACUGAUACCCCGAACAGUCCUCUGUGGGAGAGAUCAAAUCUGAUGCUUCCCUUAGAAACUUGUACUUCAUAGAAGGCACCCGCAACUUCUGAAAUUGGUAAAAAAAAAACGGAAUGGAUAUUUCGGGAUGCCAUUUCUGCGUAACGGGUCUCCUCGGUAUUCCAGACCUUCCCUUAAAGUUGAGAUUUCCCCACCCUAGUUGGGUCUGUACAUACUCAUUUCAGGGUAUGCAGCGCAGCGCUGAUCCUGACCUCUGUUCAUCCAUGUUCAACAGCCUGAAAAAUUAACAUGCAAUUUUGAAAAGUAUAUUUUUGAAUGUUUGUAGCAUUGUGUUCUGACUUUUUUCUUUUCCUAUUAAAUAAUCAUUGUAAAAUAACAUUGUUACACAAGAAUGAGAUUUUGUUAAAGUUGGGUACCAAAGUUUCAAGCAACAUACGUGGUACAACAGCAUGUUUCGUUUGUUGGCCUCCUCUUCCUCUAUUCUUGCAAUGUCUUGUCUUUGUUUGUCAUGGUUUGAAAUACCCACUCGAACUUGUCUCUCAGUUUCUCGUAUGUCGCGAACCUGACUUGUUCCAGAUACGACAAGAAUGUUUCAACGAGAGUGGCCGGAUCCCCCUCUGAGAUGAAGCACUUCGGUUCCGCGAAUCCUGGAACGUUUAAAUAGUCGCAGACGCUAAGGAGCUCGUGAACGGCCUCCCAUGUCAUUUUCGGUGUUUGUUGACCCGAGGUCGGUUUUAAUAAGCAUUCUAUAUCAUACAUUGGCCUGUAUGGAUAGUAACGAUUUUUCUCUUGUAUCAGGAUUCCUUCGUCUUGUAACUUUUCGAAGAUUGUACGCUUUACGCCCCACCUGGAUACACGUAUUUUGUAGUUCCGGUGCAUGGUCCCUCUUGCCUGUUGAUACCCGUGAUGUGUGAACUUCUGACCAAACUUGCAAUAGGACCAGGAAUUUGCGUAUUUUUUAAAGUCGGUGACGUAGCUUAAGUGUUCUUCAUACAAAUUUAGAUACAUGGCAUCUCCGUGUAUCGCCAAGGGGCGCCUGAUCAGUUCUGCAAAUGUACUUUGAUCUUCAUCGUCUUGGUGUAGGCGGUACACGUGUACAUUGAUGCCAAAGAGUUAUUCCAUAUCGCGAAGUUCAUUCAGCGUCACCCCUUUGAACUCAUCCCGUGUCUUCCCGACAUGCCUUAGGUACCUCUCGAGCAGGGAUUUGGCGGUCUUAUCCAGGCUUAGUUUUUCCCCUCCUUUGUGCAGGGCGAGACAACAAAAGAAGCACAAGUUUAGGUGCCGUGAGGUCCCGUUAGCGCCUAUCGGGUGUGCUAUCAACUUGCUGACGUAGAAUGUUGCGUUUGUAACAUUGCGCACUACAAAAUUAGAGUUGGGUCUCUGCUGUUUCGCGUGUUCCAGAAAAACGUAUUCCAACGUUCCAACGUAUUCGCGUUCAAUCCCGUUUUCAUUUUCCACUAACAUUGGCUUCUCUAGAAAAUUGUGAUUGUUCCUGCUUGAGUAGAAAUAUCUCAAUUCUCCCGUUUAUAAAUUCAUGGCCAUCAAGACACCCAUCGUCUCCUCGUUAAGGAUGAAGACCAGUAGAAGCCUCACAUCCCUUGCGACUCUUUUGGAGGCUCCACUGUGGCGAGGCUGGCUUUAUCUGUGUAGCCUGCCUCUGCAGAGAGGGCCGCACUGAAGGUGUACAGAUGGUCCUUCAGAACGCUGGGAAGGUAAAAUUUAGCAUCAUUAUGCAAUAUGCCAAUCCUCUUGGCCAGGGUGUUCUGGCAGGUCACAGUACACCUACUCCAUGUGUGUCCUGACGCUGCUGUUGGACGGCUGCUCCCGUCCUGUCGGAGUUGUUGAAGCGCCAGGCGGUUGUGGCCCCCGAGCAACUUUUUUCGUAGGCGCCCUGUACGCCAGCAGUGGAAUGUGUCCCCGAGACUUUGUCGGCUUCCUCUGCGAACUUCCUCGAUCUCUUCUCGACUCAUAACCAUCUUCUUAAUGGUUCGGCCUAACCAGCAGAAAAACAUACCCAAUCCAGCACAGCCAACCCCAUGCGCAGGCCAUAGUUGAGGUCUCCGAAAAAGAUCCUUUUAUCCACAUACUGUAGACAGGAGCUAUUGAAGGAUUCGACGUACAGGGUGUCCACUAAACUGCUCGUCUGCCGCACCACAACAUGUGAACUGAGUAUGUUUCUGUUGCAAUAUACAUAGUAAUACAGGUACAAGAAAAACAUAGGUAGUCCCAACCUGCUUGUAAAGUGAUGGCCUACUAGCAGUCUAAGAGGGGUUUAUGGAGCUCCAAGAAGUCCUCAAGGCAGGUGUGCUUUUCCACCCUGCAGGUUUCACACAUGGGCUUAAUCUUGGUCUUCGUUAGUGGCUUCUGAUCAGUGGCAUUCUUUUCUCCAAUGACCCUGUCGUUCUCUCCAGUUUGCGCUGCCCCUUUGGCGAGUAUUUAUCUUUAAUAGUGUGGUUUUCUGGAACCGUUAAGUCGUGACUGGCACAGUGGAAAUACGAUGCUCUGGCUGCAACCCUAUGCAAAUUGGCUGCGCAACCAUUCUCGACUCCUGUCAUAUUUCCAUCACCAUUUAAUUAAAGCACUGGGCUCUGCAGUUGCCUGGGUUGAGAUUUAGUAUGGUUAGAUCUAUAUGUAUGGUGCCACUGAGCGUUUUCCCAGUGAUUUUGUUGCAUUGUGCAAACGCCAAGCAAGAGCAAUCGCUCUAAAGGUUUCUGACAUCUGUCACUUAAUCCGCCAUGAUCUCGUUGAGAAGGCCAAAGGGUUGGUUGGAAAUGUUACUUCUUGAUACACUCCAGUAGUUGGUUCUGUGAUGUUAUAUGUAUGUCGCGUUAUACUUGUUGUAUGUCGCAGUCAUGCGGGCCUCAGGAAUAAUACAGCUCGUAACUGGAAAUGUGCAUCUGAGCCAACCUCCCUCCCCUAGAACUAGGUACUCCGGUGUGCUGAAAGUACCACUGAGUGGACCCUUACUACUUGAAAUAAACCUUGAGUUCCUUAAUUGUUCAAUAUUCGACUAACCUGCCCCCACAUAGCACUGUGAUUCAAAUGGCUGACUUGAUGCAGAUGCUCGGGCAAGACCGUCUUAUUCUGGUAUACUUUUAUCGUCUUAGCUAGGAGUCUUGGAGCCACUGAUUGUCUUUCUCAAAGUUGUCAAUUGCACUAGUCAGGUGCUGUUAUUGACGUGUCCUGUUCUGAUCAGUAGAAAGGGCUGUAACAACACUGACUCGUUUAUCAUACUCUGAUUGCAAGAGACGAACCCGUAGAAUGUAUCUACCUGUAUGCCCAGAAUUGUCUUCAAACCUUCAUCAAUGCGUUUAUACGCUGUGUUUAGUUGGCUUUUGAUGUACCCAGAAUCAAUCAAAAAGCAAGAUAUCAUACACUCAAGGCGUUUUGUUGUUGGCAUGGCUGUUUUCUUCGUACUUGUAGACGGACGAACAGCUUCCAUUAAACCGUGCGCCCUCUUCAACUUGACCAAAAAUGAAAAAGAACACAUGUAUUUUUCAUAUUCCACUUAAGCAGUAUGGAACCUUUUGCAUGUUGCUGUUUUAUUUAAGCAGCCAGUACCGUCUUACGAAACUGCGAAUGGUACAACCCCCCACUCCCCACCCCUCCUCCGCAAACCAUCAAUAUGGCAGGUCACGCUCUUAAACCAAAAAUUACGGUCUAUAGCUCGAGCAGAAGCCGUUGAGGAUCGAUAUUAUAUUCCAACAUUUGAAUAGUGCUUGUGUUACAGCGAAUAUAUGGUUUUGUUUUUAUAGAUGUGAUUUUUAACAUUGCCAUGUGGCUUUCUGCUUACCUGACACGGUUGACCAGCAAAUCUGUAUUGUACAAAAACACAGGGUAGCUCUUCCCCUGAGCCAUAUUUGGCCCUUACAGCAACCUUUUUCAGUGUUGGUUCAGAUUGACAGGAAUAGGAUAUCAAUCUUAAAGUUAAGCCUUCCUUUUUUGGGAUAGGAUUUGCGUUUGCCACAUACCCAUUCCCAGUCACACAUGGCAUCUACAUGUGCAUCUUCAGAUUUUACAUUUUACGUUUUUAGAUAUGUCUAUCAAAAAAGAGCUAUUACAAGAAAUCUGUCACUGGUGUCUUUGUGCUGUGCAUCUUCCUUUCUGGUGAAAGCAGAAUGUCCAGACGUUCGUUGUUUUUACAGCUGUUGUCCUUCCGUGAAAGAUCGCAUUGUUUCCCAUGUGGCAUGACUGUUGAGACUGAAAAGUCAACAAAAACAAAAUGGUGUUAAAACAUGCCUUUUGCUUUUAUGAAAUAUUUGUGUAAUUAUGUAUUUCUAGUUUUCUCCCAGGCAUCAUUGUGCAAUUUGCAAAAUCAUUUCUCUGCAACAUGUAACAAUUGACAUUUGCACUUCAUGUAUGUAAUUCACACCUUACAUCAGAACUUAUAGCUUACAUAACACAGGUUCCUGGAUAGUUCCAGACAUUGAGUGACUUCUCUCCCUUCUUCGAUACUACAUCGUUGUUUCUGUCUCCUCACUUGUCUAUUAGCAUCAGCAAAUCCACGGCAUCUAAGGUUCACACAGUAUAUUAGAGUAUCCUUUCUAAUAAAUCUAAACUAGCCUUCUCAUCUGUGAUACUGCAGACAAUGGUACACUAGUACUUAUUCACCAAGAAACCUGUCUCAAGUUUGUUGAUAAUGUCAUCCUUUAUCCCUGUCAGUGUACCCCGACUGGGCUGCCGCACCUUCUACUUUCCAUUGUGUCGAAAAUGCAGCAUAGAGUUUGGCAAUCUUGUUGUAUUUCUGGUAGUGUUUCAAUAGAUCAUGUUGAAUACACCCUGCGACAUACCUCAGCACCUGCUCUUCAGCAUCAGUCAGACUCAAAGCCUUGCCUGUAUUACUACUAGUAAAUACUACACGUGCCAUCCACACGGUGUUUCUACUCUAAGAGGCCCUCAACACCUUUUUUGUUACAAACGUGCAGUAAAGGGCAUGGAAUCUGAUCGGGUGGGGGGGCGGUUGGCAUGGAAUCUAGUCAAGGCUAGAUUUACUUCUCGGAUUCUGGGAUAAGCAUAGGACUCACGAGCUUGACUCAGGAAAACUGCAGUUUUCCAGCAUGGCGCGGUUGCUGCCGUCCUCCUCGCUGUUACAUGCUUCAGGAAAGUGGCAUCGUCUUCCUGACUCAUGCACUUGAGGUCACGAUGCCGUGCGAUGGACUCAGCAUUCUGCUAACAGAAACAUAUCAUGAACAUUUAAACCUUCGUAUAUGACUUCACCUUAAAAUAGUCAGUUUGAAAUAGAAUAUGCUGUUUAUCAGGGAAAAUAACCUUCAUCAUUUGUACACAUAGUUGUCUCUGGCAAAUUUGGUUCAAUGUUAGAAAGAUAAUUAAGCAACACUAUCUAUCUGUAUAUAUUCGGUGUUGCAUUAUUAGAUAUGGGGGUAGAAGAUUAACGUGGCUCAGGACUGGUUAUAAUUUUGGACAGGUGACAUUACAACUCAACUUCAAGAUCAUAUAAGACUUCAACAUCAUCAGAAUUCAUGUUAUAACAAUGACCUUAAUCAAAUGCAUCAGUUGUUAUGGAGCAUUGAAGGCAUGCAAUAUACUCACUGGUCUUCUCUUUUGGGUAGAGGAGGCUGCUUCUGACAUCCGCUGUUGAUAAAACAAGUUUCUUUGUUUCACACAGUCAGUUGUCGAGUAUUGUACAUAAAAUGUGUUAGCCACAUAGUAACUUUUUAAUUCUGCACUUGAUCCCAUAGCUUUGGAUACUUGAAAACAUACUCUGCGAUAUGGGUUUCUUCUUUUCUAUCCUUAAACAUUUGAAUAGUGCUUGGGUUACAGCGGAAAUAUGUUUUUGUUAAUAUAAAAGUAUUUUUAUCAUUGCCAUGUGGCUUUCUGCUUACCUGACAAGUUCACCAUCAAAUCUGUAUUGUAUAAAAACAUCGAGUAGCUCUUCCCCUGAGCUACCCGCCAAACCUCUUGGAUGCCCUCAACCUUGAUUUGAGCACGUCGAGCAUUCCCAUUGCUGCCAGGUAGUUUGACCUACACAGUGGGAAAUACAGUUAAUGUGGAAGAGAGACAUUUGAAGUAAGAAAUUUUAAAAUAUAUGGGGAAUUGAAAGUUUCUACAUUGUCAUUCAAAACAACUCACCAUCUCUGAACCCGUGAGUUUCUUCAAUUCGACCUUUCUGUCUGAAAGCCAAUGGGGAACUUUUGCUCCUGUGUUUUCCAGCAAGGCUUUUAACCUAGGCCCCGGUAGACUGUUAAUGUGGACUUCGCCGGUGUUCUUGAUGUCGUUGAUGAUGCUUGGGAUUUUGUCGUGCUCUCUUCAGUUCUUUUGCUACGUGAGAAAAAGAUUAUACCAGUUUGCACACUAAUAUAUUUUUUCUAUAUGUAUUGUGUAAUGUUACAAAAUGAUUUUGCUUAAUUUGCUCAUUGAGCUGUUGCACAAAAUCAAUGUAAUGUCAGCAAUACAUUUGAAUUUUCUAUAUAUACCUAUAUUCUAUACUCGACCUAUAUCUUUUUAGCUUGUAGCUUUAGUUGCUGCUUUGUUUUGUUUUAGCUGAGUUAAUUUGUCAGUAAGCAAACACUGUCUGACCUGUCAGACUCUUCCAUUUGUAUGCACUCGCGCCUUCUGCUGUACCUUCCUCAGGUAGACGCUGGUAAGGCCAACAUCCCACAUGGCUUUCUCUAUCUUGGAGCACAGUUCUGGUCAAUGACCCAUACAAUCUGCUAAAAUAAGAAAGAAAAACAAUUUGAUGUCACAUAGUCACAGUGAAAGAACAUGGCUACUACUGAUUUUAUCUAUUCAAUGAACAUGAAACUGGAAAAGUAGAUAAACUAUUUCUUGUAUUAAUUCAUACAUGAGGUGCAACGAUCUCAACAACAUACCUGAUAAGUUUUCCACCUAUCCUGAGAUUCCUGGAAAAUAAAGGUUUUUGAAGAAAGCUUUAUUGAACAUAAAUGAUGAUGCUUGCAUUGCAUUUUGGAAAUACAUACAAAGUGUAUUUCAACACAAGUCACAUCUACAGGUACAUACAUGUGCGUGGUAUCGGUGAGAAUGUUGUCCCAUGUGAUCUUCAUAACGGGCAGGUGAUUGUGGCCCUUUUUGUCUCCCAUUUCCCUGUUGAACUGCGCCGCUUUCUCAUGGGUCCGAAGAGGGAAUUCUGCCAGGAGUAAUCUCCACAACUUGCUAAAAAAACACCUACAGGAUGCAUUUAUCAAAGGUCUGUCUUCAUCUGUCUUAAAAAAGACUAAUUUGAAGAUUUAAAUAAAUCAGAUAAGAACUAGCCUUGUCGUCUUUGUCGCUAGCGCGACGCAGGAUGGUGCUUAAGGAUAAGGCGUACUGCCUGAUCGACUAGCCGGGCAGUUGCUGCCUGCCAUAGAAGGCUUGGAUUAGUGCUCAGAACGGGGCCUUGUCGGCAUACACCUCUUCCAGGUGCGUGAACACGAUGGUCACGUCGUCCUUGUCUGCGUCACUAAGUAGUUGAAUGUGCGUUUUCGUCUCCCCGACGCACGCGGCCUACUAUAAAAAGCCCUGCUGUCUAGUAGGGGUCCCCCAUACUGAAAGAGAGCGUUUACACUCGAGUUCAAACUGGUCUACCGACAAGUCUUCUGGUUAAGAGGGGAAGCCGGAGAAUUGUGGCAGCUUUCUGUCUGUCGCCAGGACGACGUUCUGCUUGUCGUCCUCGGGCAUUUUGGUAGUGACUAAGCUAAACAAAUUGUUUACCGACUACACUGAACAACACUGAACAAACCAAAGUAUACAUUGACACAGGUCCUGGGGGAUAUGUGCUAGUGGAACUGUCUCUGCCAUGAUGAAGUUUCAGGACCACAGUAAUACUCGGAGUCAGGUUCACAUGGUAUGCUCACUCAAUUUAUUCAAUUUAUCAAGUUAUUUAUAAUAUAUAAACUCCUUCAGACUUUUUCUUGCUGAAAUGUAGAUAUUCAUCUUAACAUAUUAGCGAAUUAUAGUCACCUGCCCUGAAUAUUCAUUUGAAAUGAAUUAACAUCAGUCUAUUUUAAUGUUCACCUCUUAUAAUGUCUUUCUUCAACACUAGAAAAUACACAAGAUUAGAAAAUACACAAGAUGACAGUAGAAAAUUGAAACAGAAGAAUCCAUGUAUUUCAUUAUGAUGUAUACAAUAUAUAAUGUUAAUUGUUGUAUAGUUGUAUUCAUUAUUUGACUUGUAUGAAAAAUUAUUGUUGCAGGUACAUUAAUCAACAAUAACACAUUUACUUACACCAUAUAUUUCUGAUAAUGCUCCUAAUACACCAUUCAGACAGAUCGUCACCACUUUUUGUAGUAUUGUUUAUCCCUGACAAUUUGACUACAGUACUGUACUCAUUAAGUCAUGGAUAGCUAAGUUAUGGGAUGCCCCAAGACUUGGCGCACAUGUUCAAGUUGUUCAUCGGUAACUUGUUCGUCAACAAUGAAAGUUCUGUUGUCAGGGAAUGAUGGAUGUCUCCGCCUAAGACAAUAGAGGUCACGAUGAUAGUACCUGUUACCAGGUCCUGCAAUCUCUUUUGUACUUCUUCCAAAAUUACACUCCCACUGACGUAUGAGGAUAACCAUGGGUGGUUAUACAAUAUCAAACUCCUUUCUACAGCCUGCACAGGUUUUGACUCUAAAAUCCGUGCAUCGGACCCAUUCCCAUUCAACAUUACUAGCCAGCCAUGG